rnacentral:rRNA from 1 species
AACGUAGGAGGCGAGCGUUAUCCGGAUUUACUGGGUGUAAAGCGUGUGCAGGCGGUUUGUUAAGAUGGGUGUGAAAGCUCCUGGCUCAACUGGGAGAGGUCGCCCAUGACUGGCAGACUAGAGAGCAGUAGGGGAAGGUGGAAUUCCGGGUGUAGUGGUGAAAUGCGUAGAUAUCCGGAGGAACACCAGUGGCGAAGGCGGCCUUCUAGGCUGUAUCUGACGCUCAGACACGAAAGCUAGGGUAGCAAACGGGAUUAGAGACCCCGGUAGUCCUAGCCGUAAACGAUGUGAACUUGGCGCUGGGAGGGUAAAACCUAUCAGUGCCGAAGCAAACGCGAUAAGUUCACCACCUGGGGACUACGGCCGCAAGGUUAAA